CACCGAAGAGACAGCAUGUAACCUGCCCAGCUGAAAAAGCAAUAGAACAUGGACCAAGACAGAGGCCUUAAACAAUUCAUCUUGUUUAGUCUUCACAACCAUCACACAGAGUGGGUAUGACCUUCAGGCUGCAGCCCUGGCAGUCCUGGAAUUCACGCUGUAGACCAGAUGACCUCACACCGACAGAGAGCCACCUGCCUCUGCCUCCUGAGUUCUGGGAUUAAAGGCCUGCACCACCACCGCCUGAUAGAAGUGUGUCUCCUUUCACAAUCCCAACAGCUGCAAAGUCUGCUUUUGCUAUAGGAAGCUGUGCUUCUCCUGACAGGAAUUCCUUUGUCCAUUCAGAAAAGAAUAAAUAAAUAAAUAAAUGGAAACAAAA